UUUUAAUAAAAGAAAAAGGGGUGAAAAGAACAAAGUUUUGUCCAUCUUUGUUCAUCAUAGCCUAAAGUUAGAGAAGAGAAAGGAGAGGAGAAAGCUCUUGAAUGUUCGGUCACUUGGGGAAGAAAAUUGAAGGAAAUCCCCAACCAUAGUGGGCUUGGAGCUGUGAGGGAAUUCGGAGUGGCCACCCGUUCUAAAAGUUUGAUUUUCUUCUGGUGAACUGGACAUCCUAUUAUUUAUGUUGAGGUUUGGGUUUUUAAAUGUAAUAAGGCCGCUUAAUUAUUUUUGAUGGUUUUAAUAUGUAUUACUAAGAUAGGUAUUACUUA